UUUCUGUGGAAUUCCCAUUUGCCAGCGAGCUGCUGCUGCCGCUGCCCUGAUUGAUAUAUGACUGCAAUGGCACUUUUCCAUUUGACAUUCCCUCUCUCUCCCUCUCCCUCUCUCUCUUAAACAACAGCCCUAACUUUUGUGUGUUGCAAAUAUAAAAGGCAAGCCAUGUGACAGUGGGACAGAAGAACAAAAGCAUUUGGAAGUAACAGAACCUCUUUUUAGCUCUCCGAAGAGUCCGAGGAGAGGAAGGAGCAGUGAAUUUCCCAAAGCAUCAGAGGCACGAGCAUAACUGUUCUCUGUGGCUUUGGGACAAAAGAAGAGUUUCACUGUUAUGAGCCCAGUGAUAAAGUGUCAGUGUAGUGCGACUGCGAGGCACGGGAACGGACACUGCCCCGAGAGAGCCCAGCUGAGGAAGAAAGCCCCGUCUCCCUGCUGGGAUUAAGGAGAUUCUUUGACGGAUUACAAUCUCGGCAAACUCCAACUCGAGAAGCAGAAUGACAACUAAGAGACUUAAACCAGACCUUUCACCAUCCUGGAAAGGAAGUGGCUGCCAGUAUUUGAAGGUUUUUUAAUACUCUACCUCCCUCUGCUGUUAUCAGCGAGAAGUUCCUUGACAAUGGGAAGUCAUGUACUUGCAGCUUCGAUUUCCAUGCUCUCACUCCUGGCAAUGAUGGGAGACACAGACAGUAAAACAGACAGUUCCUUCAUGAUUGACUCCGACCCCAGCCGCUGUAUGAGGCAUCACUACGUCGACUCCAUCAGUCACCCCCUCUACAAGUGCAGCUCAAAGAUGGUGCUGCUGGCUCGCUGCGAAGGGCGCUGCAGCCAGACGUCGCGCUCGGAGCCGCUGGUUUCUUUCAGCACCGUCCUGAAGCAGCCUUUCCGCUCCACCUGCCACUGCUGCCGGCCCCAGACCUCCAAGCUGAAGGCCAUGCGGUUGCGAUGCUCGGGGGGCAUGCGGCUCACUGCCACCUACCGCUACAUCCUCUCCUGCCACUGCGAGGAGUGCAACUCCUAGGGAUGUUCCUGCCGCAGCAGAGAGGGGACUGGGGUGCUGCUGUUGGGGAAGGCUCCCAAGAAGUAAUCCAAGGUGAGGCCGACACUCCCAGCGUACGAUUGCAGCGAGGACAGGACUAACCAGACUGGAUUGGAUCAGAGAGCUAAAGUGUAAAAUAUCCUGGGGCCUGGAUGGAGCCGGUACCGAAGUAUGGGCAGUGACAAAAGCAAAAACGGGAGGACUUGUUUUUAAGAAGCCUUUCUUUUUUUCUGAAAGGAUAUUUUUGUGAGUUUCUUCUUUUUCAGGCUCAGCUCUGAUUACAGAGAGGUGCUUUUGCUUUAGGCCAAGGGCAGCAGAGGAAAAGAGAGGAAGAUCAGCUGGAUGACAGCACUACGCUCUGGAAGUUGGCGUUCAGACACAGAUGUGGGCAUCAGUUCCCAUAUACCACCUUUUAACCUAUCAAUUUAUUCUCAGUCUCCUAGUUACAUUUGCCUUCAAAACAGACUGUGCUGUUGGCAAGGGUUAUCUGUUACUCAUCUAGAAGCCAAGCGUUGGACAACUUUAACUGUGGUUUAGCAGAAAUUACAAAUAAAUCAUUGAAAAGUGAACAGGAUAUGAAAUGUCACACUGGGAUUACCCAGCCAUUGCUGGCUGAAAUGAUUAUUUGCAGCAUUUGGCAACAGAGUUCAGUAGCUGAGCAGCUCCUGAAAAAUGGAAGGUCAUUGUUUCCCUCUAAAAGUUUGGAAAUGUGGCACAUCACAUCUGUCACAAAAGCCAUUAUUCAAAUGCUAAAAAACAUGAUGUGAGAAAAGAGAUGCCCCUGAGCUCCCUUCUGUGGUUCUUUUCUACAGACUGUAACUGUGGGAAAAAUACAUCAGAAAAUGAAAUGCAGCAGAGGAUGCUUGGGGGAACUAAGGCACCAUAUUCUACACUUUGAUGAAAUGACAAUGGAGGACAAUCAGUAGCUUCAGUGAGAACAAACCCUGGCCAGCACCACAAAGCCUCCUGCCUGAGGAUGAUGAGAGGAGGCAAGGAGGGAAGAAGGGAAGGAUCCAGUUUUGCGAUGCACCUGCUCGGGAUACUGCCAGUCCUCAGCAUCAGAUGUCUGCAAGUCAUUUGCCCUUAAUUGAGGAAAAUUCAGAGUUAUGCUCAUUUAAGUUUCCUUCAUUCCUUUCACCUGCCCUGCUCCUCCUCACCCACCCUGCACCUCUAAUACAUGGAAACAAUCGUGCUGCUGGGAUCCCACUGCUCAUGUCAGACAUAUCUCCACAUUGUCACGUACAGAGCUUCUCCAAACAUUCACAGUAACUGGGAAUGGGAUGCUGGAAGAAGAAAUCUGUGACCCGAUGCAGCAAGACUGUGCAGACUUAAAACUGAUUAAUAUUUUACAUAAGCUAGCUAUGUUCAAACAUUACCACUCCUGGGACUAGAGUUACUGCUGCCUCACAUAUUUCAUUCCCUUUGAAGUGCAAGAGUCCCUGCACUGGGAGAACCCAUUUCUGUGCUUCCGAAUGUUUCCCGUGUUGUUUCUUUGUUUUUAUUUGCCUGCCCUUAAGGCCUCGGGCAAUGAGGAGCUGGUAAUCCACCUCUCUUCCUCUGUACUCUCCAAUUUGGAAACAGCCUCAGGGGGAAAUACAUGCAUCAUCCUCCUCUAUAACUGAAGGCUUCUCUCUUGCAUCUUGUUUCAAAGACUGAAUAAUGUGCUAAUUCUGGCUUUUCAUCUACAGGCACCAUAAACUCCAGAACACUGGGGCUAUUUUGUCACCCGGUGUUGGAAACUCACUACUGACUACUUUGUGACUUUUUUUUUUUUUUUUUCCCCUUAAACUGUAAUGAUACACACAGGCAUAUGCAUAUGUGCACACGCACACACACAGACACAGGGAGGGUGAGACUGUGCUUACUGUAGGAUAGGAGAAGCUCUGUUUUCCAGCCUUGACCUGGAUAAUCACAGCUUUGUGGGAAAUGUUUUAUAUUGCAGUAUUGCAACAGGAUGUAAAAGAGAAACACACCGAGACACACACAAAUCUACUUCUAUAUAUUCAUAAAUAUGUUUUUAUGCAUUUAAGCCUCAAUAGAGCCAUUGCUGUCAGGCAAAAUGACUGCAUGAAUGACCUUGAACGCCACAAACCAAAAGGUGAUAAACACAACACGGCGCCAGGUCAGCAGCACACCCGACUGCAAAGGAGGCAAAGGCCGUCGCUGGCUGCUCCUGACGUUCUGCUGAGUAACCCACGCUUUCCCUGGAGGUGGGGCACAGCGUGAGGCUCCGGCGUGAUGAAAUCCUUGCGGAUUCCUGGGAGAGGGGCUGGGGCUGAGCCUGAGCCUGAGCCUUUAGGUGGAGCUCACGUACCGCCGCUCCCGGGAAGAGCAUCACUGCGGGACAAGGCCGGCCAGGCAGAGCAGAGCUUGACCUCCCGAUUUUCACCGCUCGGGUUAACAGCCGGGUUCCUCACAAAGCUGAGAAACGGUUUCUUUCGAAAGCUGUUUGCAGAUGGCUUUUGUCCUGCGUGCACGCAGCGUUGGCUACGGCCCAUAGGGCUGCUGGCGGAUCCACCGUGGCUGGGCUUUGUUACUGGGGCAACUAGAGGGGCUGCGUGCACCCGGCCACCGCCGCGGCAGGAGCGUGGAAUCAGAGACUCUCGGUGCGUGUCCACGCAGCCAGGGAAGCUCCCUUCAGGUCUACCUCGCGUCCCAGUCCAACGGGACCCCGAGGACCUUCAGCUCCCGAAGGAGGCCCAGGAGCACGCUUUGCUGCGUGGCGGCAGGGGGCCCGGUGCUGCUGGGCUGUGGGAUGGGGAGAGCCGUGCGCAAGGCUGCCUUAAUUCAUCUUAAUUAAUUGUGCAGUGGCUGGGAGGAGGGCCACUGCACAAGCGGAGCGCGGUGGGAAGCACGAAGGAGCAGGCCUCUGUGCGAGUCUUGGGCUCAGCAAGGGCAAUCUGGCAGGCUCGCAUCAGCUGCAGAGCGUGUGGUUCCCAGAUCUUCCCGUCCCUUCUGUGAGAUCUGGCAGGCUGGAGAGUAGGCAGAAAUAAGUGGAAGAAAGCUGUACUCUAGCAGCAAACCCCAAAUCAGUGGACUGCAUUUAAAACACAUGUGAGGGCUUACAAUUUUGUCUAACAAAGCCAGGCUUGUAAAAGCUGUGUUUAUUUCACACUGUAAAAGUGAUACCUGGCAUCACAAGCAGGGCCUGUGUCAGCUCAGGAGGAUGAAGAAUGUGAGUGUCCUCGAUAGCACCAGAGAUAGAAAGCAGAAGGGGACAGGAGUGGUCCUUAAACCUGCAAAACAGGAAAAGGAAAAAUUACGGAUUUCUACAUUUCUUAUUAUACAUGAAGCUGCCAGCAAUAUCACACCAUACUCACAGAAGAGCCUGACAUAACCCCAAAUCUUGCCCACUAUGUUGUUACACUCCCAAGACUCCUGGGAUGAACAGAUGUUUGGGACAGCAAACUUACAAAAACAACUUUACACUGAGGGUGUCCUGCUGCCAGCUGCGGGAUGGUGAGGAUCUUGCAUGGACAUUAAAGAGGAUCAGCAGUUGCCAAAUGCCCUGUUGAAGCCCUGGCCAUGAAUGGAAAGGUUAGAUUUAUACCAACCGCCCCUAGCUUGCUGCCCCAGGACCAAACUAAAACGUUUGGUGGUUAGAGCAAGCCUGGGCUGUGGGGUUGGUGUGCAGAUAGCCUCUCCUGACUCUGCUGCUAGGGUGAUGAUGUGUGUUAACAACAGAGUUGCUCUAACGCUCUUGUUAUUUCAUGACAUUUUGGGAAAUACCAUGACUGUGAGCUCUUGCUCCUUCUUGCACUUUAGAUAAGUUGACGUGAAGUUUGGUCAGGGACAAACAAGGCUGGUAUUGCCAGUUUACAACAACUUCAGCCAGGAGAAUCUGUCUUAUAGCAUCCGAGUUUAUGCAACUGGGGCAACUACAGAGGAGGCAAAGUUCAGAUAUUCAGUUAGCAGUCAAGGCCUUUGAAGAGCACAUUUUGUGAUCCAGCUUCAGCUUUGUACUUAAAUGAUAUAUAAAUCUUUACAGAUGAGAAUCAAUGACAUGUAGAAGAGGAAAUGUAAAGUGAUGCCUCCAAGGAAGAGCUGUGUGCAACCAUGCUAUAGACAAAGGAGUGUCCAGAAGGGCAAGAGACAUUUUGAAAAAAACAAAACAAAACAAAACAAAGCCUAAAUGCAAACCAGAUAGGCUUUGUAAUUCUGCAGCCUGCUGAUCUACUCUUCUUUCUUACUUUAGUGCCUGUUUAUUUCAGUUGGAUUCUUACAAAUUCCUGGUCUUUUUCUCUCUUUGUGCAAGAAAAAAACCUGGUGACUCUGAAUAUCUGUAAAAUAUCAAAUUGUUUGAUGAGCUGUUUUCCAGACAAAACUUCAUCAGCUGAAACUACACCUGUACCAAAAAUCCUUCCCCAUUUUGUGAUGUCUCAUACCAGUAUCCAAACCUCCCUUUCAUGGAUGUGAUAAAAAGUUUUGAAAGGAAAUCAAGUUAUAAGGGAAACAAAUUUUAAUGAUGUUGCUGGUGUGUGCUACUCAUUGUGUUAUUACUUUAUUUUCCUCCUCAGUUCCCUGUUUUUUUCACAUGAUAAAUCCCAAUUACUAUAAAGGUAAGCAACAUUAGUCAUUUAAGAUGAAUUCAUAGGUCAGAGUUAGGAAGACUCAAUGUCCCUUUCACAUGACAGAUCACUACCCACUACUGUAAGUAGUUACUGAGAUCAGCAAUAAUAAAUUCCAGUGUUGCAGCAUUACUCCUAUUUGCACUGUAUAUAUUACCCUCCUCCAUGGUUUUCUUCUGUACUCUAAAAACACGUACAAAAACAUGACUAGAACAUACUGAAUACAGCACAUUACCAUGCAUGUUAUACAGAAUUUAGCAGGUGGGAUUUGGCUCACAGAUCAAGGCACCCAAAAUCAGGCUCAUGUCUAACUUCUGCCGCAGUUCUCAGAGUCAAGAUGCCUGAGUCUAGAGUCAACUUACCUGACUAGACAUUAGUGUAUACAUCUGGGUGAGCUGAGUAGCCUUCUAGACUGAGCUGACUGUCUUGACUAGAUGCUUAUGGAUUAUAACAGGUUAGACACCUAUUGCAUAGGUAGACAUAUCCUCUCCAGUCUUAAUCUACAAGCUGAAUCAACCUGCUAUUUCUUUCCUCA